UACGUAGGUGGCAAGCGUUGUCCGGAUUUAUUGGGCGUAAAGAGCGUGUAGGCGGCCAGGUAGGUCUGGUGUGAAAACUCGAGGCUCAACCUCGAGACGCCGAUGGAAACCAUCAGACUAGAGUCCGGAAGAGGAGAGUGGAAUUCCUGGUGUAGCGGUGAAAUGCGCAGAUAUCAGGAGGAACACCGGUGGCGAAGGCGGGUCUCUGGGCCGAUACUGACGCUGAGGAGCGAAAGCAUGGGGAGCGAACAGG
rnacentral:rRNA from 1 species